CUCCCUCUCUCUCCCACAUAACCCGCCUUCCUCCCCUCCACAAAAAAAAGUCGCCUUCCUCGUCCGCCCACUAUUAGGCCCUAUUUUCAAUCGAUCUGUUGGAGAUGAGUUCGAUCCGGCAGCAAAUCCUCGAUCCAUGACUUCAGCAAUAUGGUGGAGAAGCAACCUGUGAACAUCACGUGAUCUCUUUCCAGACUGGAACAGGCUUAUACAAAAAUAACAUCUCUUGGACGGCCUGAGUUUGCGCCCGGCAUCAUAGGUUUGUCGUCAAGCUAUCGAUUCGAUAAAAGGUAAACACAUCGUGUUCCUGUGCACAGCGUUUUGAGCCGCAAUGAUUGAUUAUGUGCAUGGUGGAUAUGGAUGGUGUGUACGUGCAUGUUCAGGCCGAUCUAGGAUGCCUUCUACAUUUGUAUCUUGCUGGACGAUCCUCGUGCAGGACCACAUCGAGAUUGAAUCAAGCCAUCCUGCUUCACUGCAGUUCAGAAGUCGACGAUGCAGACAUAUCUCUAGCGUGCGUUUGUUAACAGUUCAAGCAAUGAUUGAUUAUGUGCAUCGUUGAUAAGGAUGGUGUGUACGUGCAUGUUCAGGCUGGUCAAAGAUGCCUUCUACUUUUGCAUUUUGCCAGACGAACCCUGUGCAGGACCACAUCGAGAUUGUAUCAAGCCAUCCCGCUUCGCCUCAGUUCAGAAGUCAACGCCGCAGACAUAUCUCUGGCGUGUGUUUGUUAACACUUCAAAGAAAGCAAUCUGUCUUACCUAUGUGUAUGUAGACUGGAAUUUCCUGGCCGUCAUGCUUCGCUCUUUCUCUCUCCACAACUCCGGCUCCUUCCUGCUUUACUACUGCUACUAAAUCCAAUGCUCCCAUAGGGUAGGUUUGAUAUGUGCUAUACCAUAGUAUAUUUGUAGGAGUUCCGGUAUUAGUGAGUUUCAGACUCCUGCUACAUAUUCAGAUGAUACUAAUUGUGGUAGGAGUUAUAGUCGAAGAGUAUCAUACUUUAGAAGUUAGCUUAAUUGUAACCACAUACUUGCAAGUUAGGCACACUAAUUCAGUUUGAUCUUUUUUAUAGACAUUUAAAUGAGGUCAGAGGGCUAGCUUCUUACGAUGUCAAACUUUUGUUAUGUUUUUCACUCUCCUCCAAAUUGCACAAUCACUGUUUGGUAUUAAUUUCAUCGCUCCAGAAUUAUUAUAUUAUCUUAUGUUUGCAACCUACCUUCCAAGUUCAAACCACGCUGCAACCAAGCAUCUAUUUGUAUCUCAUAUGGACAGAUCCCUUGAUGGAUAUUGGUUUAUGGCAGUCAUAUUGAUGGUAGUUUAAAGCAAUUCAUUGGGCCACUACCAUGUGAAAUACUCCUGCAUUCCGUGAUGCCCUCGACGAAGUGAUGCCCACUGUAAUGAACACAUGCUACAGUUAUAUGGCUCGGGAUGGACAACAAUCUUGAAGAGUUCACGGAAGAUUCAGGGUACAUGUGGUUGUAUCAGUGAUUACUAGCAUCUUCUUGGGCCUCGAGGAGUGACACCGAAUGUUGGUUCAUGCUAAGAUGAUAUUACUGCUUAGAUUUCCAUUGCAAUGCAUUGAGGAUAAACAUUUUCACAUGAUACAUGCAUUAGCAUGACAUGCACUUGGUUUUAAUUUGGACUAUCAAUUGUUAUGAGUGAUUAGCUAUGUAGAACCAUCCAUGAAAUCACAAAGAGAAGUCAACUCUUUUCUGUAAACUUAUUCCAAAAAAUAGUAGCAUCAUUUAAUGAUUUUGAUAACAGAGUUAGUUUAAAUGGAAAUCAAGGGAAAAUGUAAAAACUAUUCAUGACUGAUUGGUCCUAAUCAUCCUAGAUUUUUUUUAAUAAUAUCCAAGAAUCACAUCCUCGCCAUAUGGCAUAUGCCUCAUAUGAUUUAUGAAUGACCUGCUCGGAUUUCUAUUGUAAUAUUUAUUGUUUGUCAUGGUAGUUUAUAAUACAUACUAAGUACUCUUGAUUACUGUAAGAGCCAUACACCAGCUAACAUAAGCACAAAGUUUUGUUAUUGUAAAGUUAUAAGCUCAUCAUAUUUUAAUCUGAUCAGGUGAAGAAAUACUACUGUGUACAUCAGACUGAUUGUUUUAUUCAGUUAAUAUUCUAUAACUUUUAGUUCACAAUGUGAACUUAUUAUAUGCUACAUACACUUGAAUGCAUUAUUGAACCAAAUUACACAAGAUCUAUAGAAAUAUUAUAAAAAUAUUAAUCGGGUUGGUAGGAAACUACAGUUAUAGAUUUUUUGGUGGCAACUUCUAAAUAUUUUAGUUAGUAAUCAGUU